UUGCUUAUGUAGCACAAAUACUAAAAGUGGAAGAAUAGGGAGAUGUCAUAUGAUAGAAUGGCCCCUGAGCAAGAAUGUCCAGCAAAUGCAUAAAAUGUUUCAUGUUUUU